AUACGGAGGAUCCGAGCGUUAUCCGGAUUUAUUGGGUUUAAAGGGAGCGUAGGUGGACAGUUAAGUCAGUUGUGAAAGUUUGCGGCUCAACCGUAAAAUUGCAGUUGAUACUGGCUGUCUUGAGUACAGUAGAGGUGGGCGGAAUUCGUGGUGUAGCGGUGAAAUGCUUAGAUAUCACGAAGAACUCCGAUUGCGAAGGCAGCUCACUGGACUGCAACUGACACUGAUGCUCGAAAGUGUGGGUAUCAAACAGGAUUAGAUACCCUGGUAGUCCACACAGUAAACGAUGAAUACUCGCUGUUUGCGAUAUACAGUAAGCGGCCAAGCGAAAGCAUUAAGUAUUCCACCUGGGGAGUACGCCGGCAACGGUGAAACUCAAAUGAAUUGACGGGG
rnacentral:rRNA from 1 species